GACCGAGGUGCCGAGCGUUAGGCGGAAUCACUGGGCGUAAAGCGUGCGUAGGUGGUUUGUUAAGUCUGAUGUGAAAGCCCUGGGCUCAACCUGGGAAUGGCAUUGGAUACUGGCGAGCUAGAGUGCGGUAGAGGGUAGUGGAAUUCCCGGUGUAGCAGUGAAAUGCGUAGAGAUCGGGAGGAACAUCUGUGGCGAAGGCGACUACCUGGACCAGCACUGACACUGAGGCACGAAAGCGUGGGGAGCAAACAGG
rnacentral:rRNA from 1 species